UACGUAUGGAGCAAGCGUUAUCCGGAUUUAUUGGGUUUAAAGGGUGCGUAGGCGGAUCGUUAAGUCAGUGGUCAAAUUGAGGGGCUCAACCCCUUCCCGCCAUUGAAACUGGCGCUCUUGAGUGGAAGAGAAGUAUGCGGAAUGCGUGGUGUAGCGGUGAAAUGCAUAGAUAUCACGCAGAACCCCGAUUGCGAAGGCAGCAUGCCGGCUUCCGACUGACGCUGAAGCACGAAAGCGUGGGGAUCGAACAGG
rnacentral:rRNA from 1 species